UACGUAGGGUGCAAGCGUUGUCCGGAAUUAUUGGGCGUAAAGAGCUCGUAGGCGGUUUGUCGCGUCUGCUGUGAAAACUCGGGGCUUAACUCCGGGCCUGCAGUGGGUACGGGCAGACUAGAGUGCGGUAGGGGAGACUGGAAUUCCUGGUGUAGCGGUGAAAUGCGCAGAUAUCUGGAGGAACACCGGUGGCGAAGGCGGCAUCCUGGACCGGUAUUGACGCUGAGGCGCGAAAGCUAGGGGAGCAAACGGG
rnacentral:rRNA from 1 species